AUCGGCUACGGAGACAUGACACCAAAGACCUACGUGGGGAUGGUGGUGGGUGCCUUAUGCGCACUGGCCGGUGUACUGACGAUUGCGUUGCCCGUGCCUGUCAUCGUCAACAAC
rfam:Ramazzottius varieornatus DNA, contig: Scaffold002, strain: YOKOZTNA-1.